CAAACGGGAAAUUGAUGCCCCAACACCCGAUUGGGCUGUCAAUUUCCCGUGCGUAAUACAAAAUGACUGAAAAACGGCAAACUUCGCAAGGCUAUAUUAUCCGUAUUUUACAACAUUUUGCAACGAAACUUUGGAAUAUUGCUAAUUUUGUGAUGCUCUUUCAAGCUGUGAUGAAAUUUUUGUCUGGAUCAAAAUUUAGUCUAUAAUGCAAAUGGUCCAUU